rnacentral:rRNA from 1 species
UACGGAGGGUGCAAGCGUUGCUCGGAAUUAUUGGGCGUAAAGGGUAGGUAGGUGGUCUCAUUUGUCUGGGGUGAAAGCCUUGGGCUUAACUCAAGAAGUGCCCCAGAAACGGUGAGACUGGAGUCCUAGAGAGGGUCGUGGAAUUCCCGGUGUAGCGGUGAAAUGCGUAGAGAUCGGGAGGAACACCAGAGGCGAAGGCGGCGACCUGGAUAGGUACUGACACUCAACUACGAAAGCGUGGGGAGCAAACAGG